ensembl:snoRNA small nucleolar RNA, C/D box 11B
UACAAGCUGUGAUGAUGAUGACCUUUGCGUCAUGUUGCUGAAAAUUCAUGAGGCUUUUUGUCACUACCUCAUCUGAGCUUGUG